CAGCGCCAUGGUGUAACUGUUUGAAUCGCUUCAAGCCGCGAUACGAGUCGGCAGGCAUCAAAAGAAUAAUCGAUACCGGUAUCGUUUUACGUAUCGUUUGAAAUACAUAGUUCAAUUACAAAUAAUUAAAAUACAUCUCUAGAAAGAAUCCUUGCAACAAAAUUACUUCAAAUCAUGUUUCCUUUACAAAUAGACUCCUUAAUCUGAGACUGCUACAUUUAAAUUGUUCAAAAUUCAUAAGUUAAUAACAAUCACCUACCAUGAACAACCACCUAUUAGAAUAAUUCCAGGCGUUCAAAGCUUCAUCAAUGAAAGGAUGGGUGUCUGUGCAAGAAGAAGCAUACUCUCUGGCACCCCAUUUUACGCUUGGGGGGGAUGGAGUUUUUUAACUUUCCUUGGAAUCCUCGUGGCAAUCGGACUGUUUUAUUAUCAUUUCAUUUAUAAAUCCUCCUGAAAGAAUAGUAAUGACUUCAUUUCAAAUCUGGCCCAGCCCGAAGGAAGAAAAGGAGGGGGAUAUUACCUAAACUUUCAUGGUGAGGAUUAGGAAGAAAUGCAUUCCAGAAAAUAAAAGAAAAUAUGAUUUUUUAUAAUUUACAAAAAUCCAUAUAAAAUAUAAUAGAUGUUCAAAUUC